AUUGAACGCUGGCGGCAUGCCUUACACAUGCAAGUCGAACGGCAGCACGGGAGCAAUCCUGGUGGCGAGUGGCGAACGGGUGAGUAAUAUAUCGGAACGUGCCCAGUCGUGGGGAUAACGUAGCGAAAGCUACGCUAAUACCGCAUACGAUCUACGGAUGAAAGCGGGGGAUCGCAAGACCUCGCGCGAUUGGAGCGGCCGAUAUCAGAUUAGGUAGUUGGUGAGGUAAAGGCUCACCAAGCCGACGAUCUGUAGCUGGUCUGAGAGGACGACCAGCCACACUGGGACUGAGACACGGCCCAGACUCCUACGGGAGGCAGCAGUGGGGGAACUUUGGGACAAUGGGCGGCAAGCCUGAUCCAGCAAUGCCGCGUGCAGGAUGAAGGCC
rnacentral:rRNA from 1 species